rnacentral:lncRNA from 1 species
UAGAGAUCCCUUGUUGUGCAUUCAUAUGCCUACAUGACUAGAUAGCUUGACCCCAACAAUGCCGUGGGCAAUCCGAAGGAAUGCCGUUGACAUGAUCAAAGAUCAAGGACCUAACCAUUAGACAUCUAUGAUGCCUCAGGUCAAAUGACUACUUUGCAUAUUGCAACUUUAGAGUUCAUACAUGACAUGUAUGUUCGAACUCUCUUUUGAUCGUCGUUCAGUGUACUCGAUUACCUUUUUCGAGCACCUAUGUGUUUGUCUUAGUGUCCAACACCAAAUGACUUGAGACUAGUUCAUACUCACGUUUGAGUCAACAUAACACACACUAACCUUAGCGGAUUGUCAAUGCCCAAUUGGCAAUCCUAUGGCUAGGAACGUUUUA